UUGCACAGCGAACCUGCCCACACGCUGGGGAAGCUUCCUCACCAAUGCCCUCCCUUGCCACCACCACCUCCCCCGCUUCCUCCUUUUCCGUUAGAAAAUGGAGGGGUGGGAAUAAGCCCCAGUAGUAGCUUUCCUCCUCUCAGACCUGCAACUGUGCCUCCACAAACUGCACCAAAACCCCAGAAGACCAUCUUGAGGAAAUCGACCACUACAACAGUGUGAUGUAUCCCACUUGGAAAACUCUCUUAUUUUUUUCCUUAUGUAUAAAACAUGAAAAAGGUAAUGAGCACUUUCUACUCAAGCAAUAAAAAGCCCAAAUAUAUUACACCCUUUCUUCGAUGAAGUGGCAUAAAAAUCACAUGCUCCUUCGGGCUAGAAGGAAUGUCAACCUUUGGAGGCAUGUUAAUCAAUUUCUCCCAUGACAGUUUCGACACAGUUUCAGGCCAUAUUUAAUUGUAACAACAGGGAGCCUUCUUAGAGCAUGGGAGCCCUUGAGCCAGAGCACAACUGAUCACUGGAGUAAUCUGCAUUAAAUCACCGGACUCAUAUCCAACAGCUACGAGCUGAGCCCUAACAAAAGCCACAGCCUUAAGUACCAUUCACUCUGACACAGGAAGAAAAAGGAGUAACGAUCUUACCCCGUCAAAGAAACAGCCAUCUCUAGAUCCUGAUGCGAAUGGAUUUCGAUGCAAAGAAAUUGAGAACAGCCAAUUAGUAAUCACUUGGUCCAGCAAGUGUCCAAUUUUUUUAUUUAAAUAUAUGUAGCUGAAUGAAAGGAUGAAGCACUUAAACGACUCAAGAGCAAUCAGUGCAUUUAGUCCGAAUGAAAGAUUUGUCAUCGUGGGUGGAAAGAGAGAAGGUCAUUGUUGUCCCUUGUGCAAAUUCAAAGCCAUAGAUGAAGAAAGGACGAAUGCUUCGAAGAUGCUUGGAAAGAUGUUAUUUCCUGUCCUCUGCCGAAAUAAUUCAGUUGUUACAGAUUGCAUCUCAAUGCACUUCAAAUAUUUGCACUGUCACUUCCAUUCAGGGGAAUGAUGUGUAGGCCAUCACUUGCACAGGUGGCCUCAUGAAAUUUCUGCCCGCAGGAAGAUGUACCUUGAGGGGCUUCUACAGGAGAUUAAAAGCCCAUCAUCAAAAGUGAAGAAAAGUUAAUGCCCUUCUAUCCCUUCACAUUUGGAAUCUUUCUCACAAGGCAAAUUGUUGCUCCUUAAGCCUGAUAUAUAAUAAAAAAUAAUAGAAAAAGCAUCAACAGGCUAACAUGGAUUUUAGAACAGAUCUAAUUUUUAAUACAUUUUUGUAUCAUUGUAACAACAAAGAAAUUGACCUAUACUGCUCACAUUGACAGUACCCUCCCAGUUAACAGGAUAAAUGAAAGAAAAAAAAACAUUUCUACUACGUAUUUGACACAUAACAUUUUUUUAUAGCCAAUUAUCUGUCCUUCAUGGAAAAUGUACCAGCUAAACAGGCAUUUUCAGUUUAUUUUUCUAAAUAAAUGUGGUGUUUGUAUCAUUUGCAAUCACUUAUUUUUGCUGAUUCCCAUUAUUUGUCCAUGUUGUGCCCCUUCCAAUCUCCUUCACCAAAAAGGGAGUUUUAAAGACAAGAACCAAAACACUUGUUUUGCCAUGUUAAAUCAUAAUGAUUUGCAGACUGAAAGCUUUAAUAUAAAAUGUUGUUUGUAGAAUUAUAAAGUAUAUUUCUACUGGAAAAUAUGUAUGGAUAUCCAGAAAGGCUGUAUUUUAGUUUUUAAUCUCAACACAUAGGUUAUUUUUUAAUAUUCCCAAGGAAGUAUUUAGUUAAUGUAGUUUGCUUGAAAGUUGUAGCAGAUAAUUUUGAUUCAGGAGUGCACGGCAUCUUCAGCAACGGUGAGCUUGCUUGUACACAGCGCAGGAUAUGAUCCAGUUUCUGGCCUCUGCGUGUACGAAAGGACUAUUGGGGGCCGUACAUAAUGCAGUCAGCAGGAAUGCCCAGCCCCUUACAUAGUGCCUCUGCUCCAUGUGUAUCCUAGAUUUGCACCUGUACAAGCAGGGCAAUGGGAGACACCCCCCCAAAGCAUUAUAGCAGGGCAUCUAACCUGCCCUUAGUACAAGCCACACUGCGUGGACUAGGAUGGCGCUGGAAUGGGAUGUGAAGGAUCAGGUGUGAAGUAUCUUCCUAAGCCCUGUAACUGCAUGCUGUCUGGUUGCUUGAUCAGAAUUGCCAGCAUGCCCUAAACUACCCAUCAAUUUCCCAGUGCCCAGAAUGUUUGCUGGAACAAUCAGGAGCUGCAUCACAGUUCCAUUAUUUGCACAUCAUUUUCAUAAAUAGAAUCAAUGCCAACCCAUACUGGUCAUGUUACAUUGAUUGCUGUUGCUCGGAAGUUGUUGCCAAAAGCUUAGUUCAACCUGAUGGACUUGGAACACUUUCACAAGUGAUACUCUUUCUUCUCUUACGUGUCACUCCUGAAUGUUGUCGGUGCAAUCUAGAAAGUCAAAGAGAGAUCAAUUCAUUCUUAUCUAUGUUGCCCUUCAUUUGAUAUACAUACACAUGAAGUUCAAAGGCCAGUUCUUAAGACCAAAUUCCUUAGAA